rnacentral:rRNA from 1 species
UCGCUAGUAAUCGCGGAUCAGCAUGCCGCGGUGAAUACGUUCCCGGGCCUUGUACACACACCGCCCGUCACACCAC